rnacentral:rRNA from 1 species
GCUGGCGGUAGGCUUAACACAUGCAAGUCGUGCGAGAAAAUAUCUUCGGAUAUGAGUAGAGCGGCGGACGGGUGAGUAACGCGUAGGAAUCUACCUAGUAGAAGGGGAUAGCCCGGGGAAACUCGGAUUAAUACCGUAUACCUCCUUCGGGAGAAAGAAGGCCUCUCUUUGAAGCUUUCGCUAUUAGAUGAGCCUGCGUAAGAUUAGCUUGUUGGUGAGGUAAAGGCUCACCAAGGCGACGAUCUUUAGCUGGUCUGAGAGGACGAUCAGCCACAUUGGGACUGAGACACGGCCCAGACUCCUACGGGAGGCAGCAGUGGGGAAUAUUGGACAAUGGGCGCAAGCCUGAUCCAGCCAUACCGCGUGUGUGAAGAAGGCCUUCGGGUUGUAAAGCACUUUAAGCAGGGAGAAAAAGUUAUAAGUUAAUACCUUAUAACCGUGAUGUUACCUGCAGAAUAAGCACCGGCUAAUUCCGUGCCAGCAGCCGCGGUAAUACGGAAGGUGCAAGCGUUAAUCGGAAUUACUGGGCGUAAAGCGCGCGUAGGUGGUUUGUUAAGUUGGAUGUGAAAGCCCUGGGCUCAACCUAGGAACUGCAUCCAAAACUAACUCACUAGAGUACGAUAGAGGGAGGUAGAAUUCAUAGUGUAGCGGUGGAAUGCGUAGAUAUUAUGAAGAAUACCAGUGGCGAAGGCGGCCUCCUGGAUCUGUACUGACACUGAGGUGCGAAAGCGUGGGUAGCGAACAGGAUUAGAUACCCUGGUAGUCCACGCCGUAAACGAUGACAACUAGCUGUUGGGAGACAAUGUCUUUCAGUGGCGCAGCUAACGUUUUAAGUUGUCCGCC